rnacentral:rRNA from 1 species
CACGCCGUAAACGGUGGGCGCUAGGUGUGGGUUUCCUUCCACGGGAUCCGUGCCGUAGCCAACGCAUUAAGCGCCCCGCCUGGGGAGUACGGCCGCAAGGCUAAAACUCAAAGGAAUUGACGGGGGCCCGCACAAGCGGCGGAGCAUGUGGAUUAAUUCGAUGCAACGCGAAGAACCUUACCUGGGUUUGACAUGUACCGGACGACUGCAGAGAUGUGGUUUCCCUUGUGGCCGGUAGACAGGUGG